AUGAGUGAGCAGAUAACCAAUUUGGAGAAAUUAAUUAUGGGCAUACCUUGCAUACCAGAAGGUGAGGAACCAAAGAGUUGUUCGUCAGAAGUAGCAUCUGACACUGCAACAGCUUUGAGUUUGGGUAGCAAUUCUGAAAACACACUAAAGGAUCCGGUAUAUACAAAACCAAAAGGGAGAAUGAAGAAAACAGGAAGGCAAAAGAGCAUGGUUGAGGAAAUUAUAGCCAAACCAAAAAUGACUUGCUCUGGGUGUGGCAAACAAGGUCACAGGAUAACUGGAUGUAAGCCAACAGAGGAGAAUGCAACACAGAAAAUUAAUAAGAGAGCUAGAAAGGACAACAUUGCAUUAAAUUCAGAUGAUGAGAAGGCAAAGGCGACAAAGAAGACUAAAUGCAUUGAAAGAAAAGAAGGCAAUGCAAAGUCCAAGAAGAAGGCGUUGUAA
rnacentral:rRNA from 1 species